rnacentral:pre_miRNA from 1 species
GUUAUACUCCCUCCGUCUAAAUUCUUGUCUUAGAUUUGUCUAAAUAUGAAUGUAUCUAGUCACAUUUUAGUAUUUACAUACAUUUAUUUCUAGACAAACCUAAGNNNNNNAUUUUGGGACGGAGGGAGUACAAG